CAUGCAAGUCGAGCGAGAAAGGGUAGCAAUAUUCGAGAGUCUGGCGCACGGGUGAGUAACACGUGGGUAAUCUGCUUAGAAGUGGGGAAUAACACCGGGAAACCGGUGCUAAUACCGCAUAAUCUGGCGAAGUCUGCGGACUUUGUCAGCUCCCCGCGCAAUUCGCUUUGAGAGGAGCCCGCGGCUGAUUAGCUAGUUGGUGAGGUAAUGGCUCACCAAGGCCACGAUCAGUAGCCGGUCUGAGAGGACGGUCGGCCACACUGGAACUGAGACACGGUCCAGACUCCUACGGGAGGCAGCAGUGGGGAAUUUUUGGCAAUGGGGGCAACCCUGACCAAGCAACGCCGCGUGGGUGAUGAAGUCUCUUGGGACGUAAAACCCUUU
rnacentral:rRNA from 1 species